AGGACGAACGCUGGCGGCGUGCUUAACACAUGCAAGUCGAGCGGUAAGGCCCUUUCGGGGUACACGAGCGGCGAACGGGUGAGUAACACGUGGGUGACCUGCCCUUAGCUCUGGGAUAAGCCUGGGAAACUGGGUCUAAUACCGGAUAUGACCUCGCGAUGCAUGUCGUGGGAUGGAAAGCCUUGUGCGGCUAGGGAUGGGCCCGCGGCCUAUCAGCUUGUUGGUGGGGUGAUGGCCUACCAAGGCGACG
rnacentral:rRNA from 1 species